UAUAUCCUACAAGUUAUCCAUCUCGCUACCUAUCAAAGAUUUAUAAUUUUCCUUCUUGUUUCAUUCUCUUCGCCAAACAACACUCAUGAUUUUCAUCAACAUAACAUUGAGAUCAUCAUCACCAUUCUAAUAAUUUGAGAUUUCAAGAUCUAGCACUGAUUAAGAAGAGUCGUCAAGAGGUAGUAGUGACGAGAUAACAACUCUUAAGCAGCGGGAUUUGAGGUAUUAGACAUGGAAGUAUGUAUAGUGAGCAGGGUCAGUUCUGGUACGUAUACUGUGAGCGGCUACGGGCGGACAAACGAUCUAGAACGUCGGUGGUGCCUUAGUUUUAUUUUAAGCAGUUGAUAAAUCUAACACAGUGGAAAUGCAUUAUUUAAAAUUAUUUACUUACUGUAUCUUGUUUUACAAAUGAAGGAUCCUUCUCUGUUGCAUUUUGAUUUUUUUUAAAAUCCACUGUUGUAUUUAAAUUA